UCAACGGAGAGUUUGAUCCUGGCUCAGGAUGAACGCUGGCGGCGUGCUUAACACAUGCAAGUCGAACGAUGAUCCCCAGCUUGCUGGGGGGAUU
rnacentral:rRNA from 1 species